AGAACGAACGCUGGCGGCGUGGAUAAGACAUGCAAGUCGAACGCGACUUAUUUUGUUAGCAAUAACAGAGUAAGUUGAGUGGCGAAAGGGUGCGUAACACGUGGGAAUUUACCAAGAAGUGGGGAAUAGCUCGACGAAAGUCGAAUUAAUACCGCAUGUGAUCGAGAGAUCAAAGUCGGGGACCGCAAGGCCUGACGCUUUUUGAGAAGCCCGCGGCCCAUCAGCUAGUUGGCGGGGUAAAAGCCCACCAAGGCUAUGACGGGUAGCUGGUCUGAGAGGACGACCAGCCACACUGGAACUGAGACACGGUCCAGACACCUACGGGUGGCAGCAGUCGAGAAUUUUUCACAAUGGACGAAAGUCUGAUGGAGCGACGCCGCGUGGAGGAUGAAGGUUCUUGGAUUGUAAACUCCUGUCACUGCAGAACAAGGGUACGUUCGUUAAUAGCAAACGUAUUUGAUGGUAUGCGGAGAGGAAGGGACGGCUAACUCUGUGCCAGC
rnacentral:rRNA from 1 species